AGCGAAGAAGAAGUACAACUCUCCACCUACAAGGAAUGUAUACGAAGAGCGAAUGAACUGGUUGAAGGGCUCCACAGUUAUGCCAUACAGUAUUGCCCAAUAAGUCAAGAAGAGAGUAAAACUGACAUGAAAAAUCAUAUCCUUUCGUGCGUCCAAGUAUUCGAUUCAAUUCCUCAAGUUCCUGAUGCUUAUAAGGAAGAAGCAGAUCGUUAUCUACUGGAAACUAUUGAAUUGAAGCCGAGUCUACUGAAUGCUUGGAAACACAUCGCCAAUUACGUUGUUGACGGAGGAGAUUACCGUAGAGCUGA